ensembl:snRNA U6 U6 spliceosomal RNA
GUGCUUGCUUUGGCAGCACACAUACUAAAAUUGGAACAAUACACAGAAGAUUAGUAUGGCCCUUGCGCAAGGAUGACAUGAAAAUUCAUGAAACGUUCCAUAUUUUU